rnacentral:rRNA from 1 species
GACGAACGCUGGCGGCGUGCUUAACACAUGCAAGUCGAACGGAAAGGCCUCAGCUUGCUGGGGUACUCGAGUGGCGAACGGGUGAGUAACACGUGGGUGAUCUGCCUUGCACUCUGGGAUAAGCUUGGGAAACUGGGUCUAAUACCGGAUAUGAACUGCCUUUAGUGUGGGGGUUGGAAAGUUUUUUCGGUGCAAGGUGAGCUCGCGGCCUAUCAGCGUGUUGGGGGGGUAAUGGCCUACCAAGGCGUCGACGGGUAGCCGGACUGAGAGGGUGUACGGCCACACUGGGACUGAGAUACGGCCCAGACUCCUACGGGAGGCAGCAGGGGGGAAGAUUGCACAAGGGGCGGAAGCCGGAUGCAGCGACGCCGCGUGGGGGAUGACGGCCUUCGGGUUGAAAACUCCUUUCGACAGGGACGAAGCUUUUUGUGACGGUACCUGUAUAAGAAGCACCGGCUAACUACGUG